UGGGGAAUAUUGGACAAUGGGGGGAACCCUGAUCCAGCAACGCCGCGUGAAUGAAGAAGGCCUUAGGGUUGUAAAGUUCUUUUAACCGAGAGCAGAGUUAGAGGGGUAAUAUACCGCUAAUGAGAGAGUAUCGGAGGAAUAAGCACCGGCUAACUACGUGCCAGCAGCCGCGGUAAUACGUAGGGUGCAAGCGUUAAUCGGAAUAACUGGGCGUAAAGAGUGCGUAGGCGGAGAUACAAGUUAGAUGUGAAAAACCUGAGCUUAACUUAGGUCGUGCAUUUAAGACUGUAUAAUCUAGAGUUAGUAAGAGGAUGAGAGAAUUCCGAGUGUAGCAGUGAAAUGCGUAGAUAUUCGGAGGAAAACCGGUGGCGAAGGCGCUCAUCUGGGAUAUAACUGACGC
rnacentral:rRNA from 1 species